rnacentral:rRNA from 1 species
UGGAGAAAAGCAGGGGAUCGUAAGACCUUGCGCUUUUGGAGCGGCCGAUGUCUGAUUAGCUAGUUGGUGGGGUAAUGGCCUACCAAAGCUUCGAUCAGUAGCUGGUCUGAGAGGACGGCCAGCCACACUGGGACUGAGACACGGCCCAGACUCCUACGGGAGGCAGCAGUGGGGAAUUUUGGACAAUGGGCGCAAGCCUGAUCCAGCCAUGCCGCGUGAGUGAAGAAGGCCUUCGGGUUGUAAAGCUCUUUCAGCCGGGAAGAAAAGGCUGCGACUAAUAAUCGCAGUUCAUGACGGUACCGGAAGAAGAAGCACCGGCUAACUACGUGCCAGCAGCCGCGGUAAUACGUAGGGUGUGAGCGUUAAUCGGAAUUACUGGGCGUAAAGGGUGCGCAGGCGGUUUUGUAAGUCAGAUGUGA